rnacentral:rRNA from 1 species
CCCUUAGAUGCUCUGGGCCGCACGCGCGCUACACUGGUCGAUGCAACGAGUUUCUUUCCUUGGCCGACAGGCCUGGGCAAUCUUUGAACAUCGAUCGUGAUCGGGAUAGAUUCUUGUAAUUUUUGAUCUUAAACGAGGAAUUCCUAGUAAACGCAAGUCAUCAGCUUGCAUUGAUUACGUCCCUGCCCUUUGUACACACCGCCCGUCGCUCCUACCGAUUGAGUGUUCCGGUGAAUAAUUUUGAUUGCUGUCUCUUUAGCAAUGAUGUGACAUGUGAAAUAUUUAAUGAACCUUAACACUUAGAGGAAGGAGAANUCGUANCA